UAACGGGGUGCAGCAGGCGCGAAAACUUCGCAAUGCGGGAAACCGUGACGAGGGAAUCCCGAGUGCUCAUAUAAUGUAUGGGCUUUUAUGAUGUGUAAAAAGCAUCAGGAAUAAGGGCUGGGUAAGACCGGUGCCAGCCGCCGCGGUAAUACCGGCAGCUCGAGUGGUAGCCACUUUUAUUGGGCCUAAAGCGUCCGUAGCCUGUCAGGUAAAUCCUUGGGUAAAUCGUACAGCUUAACUGUGCGGCUUCCGAGGAGACUGCCCGACUUGGGACCGGGAGAGGUUGGAGGUACUCCUGGGGUAGGGGUGAAAUCCUGUAAUCCCAGGUGGACCACCGGUGGCGAAGGCGUCCAACCAGAACGGCUCCGACGGUGAGGGACGAAGGCUAGGGGCGCAAACCGGAUUAGAUACCCGGGUAGUCCUAGCUGUAAACGCUGCAGACUUGGUGUUGGAGAUCCUACGAGGGUGUCCAGUGCCGAAGAGAAGUUGUUAAGUUUGCCGCCUGGGAAGUAUGGCCGCAAGGCUGAAACUUAAAGGAAUUGGCGGGGGAGCAC
rnacentral:rRNA from 1 species